rnacentral:rRNA from 1 species
AUUGAACGCUGGCGGCAUGCUUUACACAUGCAAGUCGAACGGCAGCGCGGGCUUCGGCCUGGCGGCGAGUGGCGAACGGGUGAGUAAUGCAUCGGAACGUGCCCAGUAGUGGGGGAUAGCCCGGCGAAAGCCGGAUUAAUACCGCAUACGACCUGAGGGUGAAAGCGGGGGGCCGAAAGGCCUCGCGCUAUUGGAGCGGCCGAUGUCGGAUUAGCUAGUUGGUGGGGUAAAGGCUUACCAAGGCGACGAUCCGUAGCUGGUCUGAGAGGACGACCAGCCAAGAUGGCGUUUGGAAACGACCCAGCCUCUCAGGUGGGGCAGAGGGGGGGAAUUUUGGAAAAUGGGGGGAACCCGCAGCCGGCAUGGCAGCGGGCGGGAAGAGGGCCUCAGGUUGUAAAACCGCUUUUUUUGGGGAAGAAACCAUUUGGAUUAAAACCCGGGGGGGUUGAGGGUCCCGGAAGGAGAAGACCCGGCUAACAGAGG